rnacentral:rRNA from 1 species
AUUGAACGCUGGCGGCAUGCCUAACACAUGCAAGUCGAACGGAAACGAUGGGAGCUUGCUCCCAGGCGUCGAGUGGCGGACGGGUGAGUAAUACUUAGGAAUCUACCCAGUAGCGGGGGACAACUCGGGGAAACUCGAGCUAAUACCGCAUACGCUCUACGGAGGAAAGCAGGGGAUCUUCGGACCUUGCACUAUUGGAUGAGCCUAAGUCGGAUUAGCUUGUUGGUGAGGUAAAGGCUCACCAAGGCGACGAUCCGUAGCUGGUCUGAGAGGACGAUCAGCCACACUGGGACUGAGACACGGCCCAGACUCCUACGGGAGGCAGCAGUGGGGAAUAUUGGACAAUGGGGGCAACCCUGAUCCAGCAAUGCCGCGUGUGUGAGAAGGCCUGCGGGUU